GAGUUUGAUUCUGGCUCAGGACAAACGCUGGCGGCGUGCAUAACACAUGCAAGUCGAACGAAAUCUACAUGAUUUAGUGGCGAACGGGUGAGUAACACGUGAGAAACCUGCCUUACACAGAGGGAUAGCCGUUGGAAACGACGAUUAAUACCUCAUGACACCGUGACAUCGCAUGAUGAUGCGGUCAAAGAUUUAUCGGUGUAAGAUGGUCUCGCGCCUGAUUAGCUGGUUGGUGGGGUAACGGCCUACCAAGGCGACGAUCAGUAGCCGAUCUGAGAGGGUGGACGGCCACAUUGGGACUGAGACACGGCCCAAACUCCUACGGGAGGCAGCAGUGGGGAAUUUUGCACAAUGGGGGGAACCCUGAUGCAGCGACGCCGCGUGAACGAAGAAGGCCUUCGGGUUGUAAAGUUCUGUCCUUGGUGAAGAUAA
rnacentral:rRNA from 1 species